AGUUAGUGCUGAUUUUAUUCCCCAGAGUUUUUUCUCUUUGUGUUCUCCACCCCCACUUCCAAAUAUAUUUGCACACACAUACAUACACACACACACACACACGCAGUCUGGUGCAAUUCCAGAAUGUUAUCAUGCCUUCUUUUCUCAUCCUUACAGCAUACAGUGAAGAUAAUUCUGGCCGAAAACCCUCCUUUUCGCCACCAGACCAACACGUUAUACACUCCAAUUACAACGCUGAAAUAUGCUGAUCCAAAUGGAGACCUGCCUAUUGAUACCUUCUACAAAAUGGUUUUUCAGCAUGAUAAGGUUUUCAGCGCGAGUCUUAACUUCAUUAAAAUGCUGCGUUGGAAAAGCAGAAAAAGCUUUGACUUGGGAGGAGGAAGAUCCUCCCAAUGAGCAAAUGGGUGAUUUCAGCUGCCAUGUGGGCUAUUUCACACACUUCCAUGUUUCCUUAUGUGUAAGUGCUUGUGUGGGAUGGGAGACAUAUGAAAUAGCCCUGACUGAAGCUACAGUCCUAUACACAAUCCUUACUUGGGGGCAAGUCCAACUGAAGUUGGUGGGGCUUACUUUUUUAAAAUAAUAUUUAUUAAGUUUUCCAAUUUAACAAUCCAAUAAAAGCCACAUUAAAAACAUUCCAAAUUAUAAAAUAAUCGAACAGUCCAAAUAUUAUGCCAAUUUAUACAUCUUUGUUUGACUUCCCAUGCUCUGAGGUCAGGGGGUGGCGAUCAUCUCACAUUUGCUCUCCUUCUAAGUUAGUCCAGGUGAUUCCCAUAAAUCAAUCCGAUGUUAAUCCUUCGUUCAUUUUUCACAGCCUCCGAGUUCAUCUAGCAAGCAAGUUAAAUCAAACAAUAUGUUCCUGUGUGGGUGUUUAUCUUCUUCCAUGUCUUUCGCUUUCGUUUCUUCAUGACUGAAAUUAUAAGCUACAUGUCCCAAAAUGGAGGAAAUCUGGCUUUCUGCCAAUUUUACCAGGCGUAUGUCCAAAUCUCUUCGUUUUAAGUCUGUCCAUAUACUAUUCUGACCACCUCAAUAUUUUUCCAACACAUAC